rnacentral:rRNA from 1 species
UACGUAGGGUGCGAGCGUUGUCCGGAAUUACUGGGCGUAAAGGGCUCGUAGGUGGUUUGUCGCGUCGUCUGUGAAAUUCCGGGGCUUAACUCCGGGCGUGCAGGCGAUACGGGCAUAACUUGAGUACUGUAGGGGUAACUGGAAUUCCUGGUGUAGCGGUGAAAUGCGCAGAUAUCAGGAGGAACACCGAUGGCGAAGGCAGGUUACUGGGCAGUUACUGACGCUGAGGAGCGAAAGCAUGGGUAGCGAACAGGAUUAGAUACCCUGGUAGUCCAUGCCGUAAACGGUGGGCGCUAGGUGUGAGGGUCUUUUCACGACUUUCGUGCCGUAGCUAACGCAUUAAGCGCCCCGCCUGGGGAGUACGGCCGCAAGGCUAAAACU